UUAAUACUCCCUCCGUCCGGAAAUACUUGUCAUCAAAAUGAAUACAAGGGGAUGUAUCUAGAUGUAUUUUAGUUCUAGAUACAUUCCUUUUUGUCCAUUUUGAUGACAAGUAUUUUUGGACGGAGGGAGUAGGAU
rnacentral:pre_miRNA from 1 species